rnacentral:tmRNA from 1 species
GGCCUUUCCACCACUGCCGCGAAUGCCUAUAUUCGCUGUGCUGGGCUCGUCCUGGCUAUGGCAAUAAACUGCCGAUGUAAUAAACCUUUCGGACCCGGGGGCGGUACCCGGCGCCUCCACCUGAGCCCACUUCGCGAGCGUUGCAUCGUGGGUUGAGGCGGGGGCGAAAUAGGAUCGACGAGGGCGUAAAGAUCGGACUUUUGCUCGGCAUGGUACCACCGUCAUCGGGCUGUAAAAGUAGUUGCCAACGACAACUAUGCGGAAGUCCGUCUCGCCGCUUAAUGCGGUGCGAUAGCUUCAAAUCAAGCCCUGGGGGUUCGCACUUCUAGGCGGGGCUCGGAGGCGCCUGGCAACAGAAGCCUCCACU